UACGUAGGGGGCAAGCGUUGUCCGGAUUUAUUGGGCGUAAAGAGCGUGUAGGCGGCUUUGCAAGUCCGUUGUGAAAACUCGAGGCUCAACCUCGAGACGCCGGUGGAAACUGCAAAGCUAGAGUCCGGAAGAGGAGAGUGGAAUUCCUGGUGUAGCGGUGAAAUGCGCAGAUAUCAGGAGGAACACCGGUGGCGAAGGCGGAUCUCUGGGCCGAAACUGACGCUGAGGAGCGAAAGCGUGGGUAGCAAACAGG
rnacentral:rRNA from 1 species